GCAGUCGAGCGGAACGAGUUGUCUGAACCUCCGGGGGACGAUAACGGCGUCGAGCGGCGGACGGGUGAGUAAUGCCUAGGAAAUUGCCCUGAUGUGGGGGAUAACCAUUGGAAACGAUGGCUAAUACCGCAUAACGCCUACGGGCCAAAGAGGGGGACCUUCGGGCCUCUCGCGUCAGGAUAUGCCUAGGUGGGAUUAGCUAGUUGGUGAGGUAAGGGCUCACCAAGGCGACGAUCCCUAGCUGGUCUGAGAGGAUGAUCAGCCACACUGGAACUGAGACACGGUCCAGACUCCUACGGGAGGCAGCAGUGGGGAAUAUUGCACAAUGGGCGCAAGCCUGAUGCAGCCAUGCCGCGUGUGUGAAGAAGGCCUUCGGGUUGUAAAGCACUUUCAGUCGUGAGGAAGGUAGUGUAGUUAAUAGCUGCAUUAUUUGACGUUAGCGACAGAAGAAGCACCGGCUAACUCCGUGCCAGCAGCCGCGGUAAUACGGAGGGUGCGAGCGUUAAUCGGAAUUACUGGGCGUAAAGCGCAUGCAGGUGGUUUGUUAAGUCAGAUGUGAAAGCCCGGGGCUCAACCUCGGAAUUGCAUUUGAAACUGGCAGACUAGAGUACUGUAGAGGGGGGUAGAAUUUCAGGUGUAGCGGUGAAAUGCGUAGAGAUCUGAAGGAAUACCGGUGGCGAAGGCGGCCCCCUGGACAGAUACUGACACUCAGAUGCGAAAGCGUGGGGAGCAAACAGGAUUAGAUACCCUGGUAGUCCACGCCGUAAACGAUGUCUACUUGGAGGUUGUGGCCCUGAGCCGUGGCUUUCGGAGCUAACGCGUUAAGUAGACCGCCUGGGGAGUACGGUCGCAAGAUUAAAACUCAAAUGAAUUGACGGGGGCCCGCACAAGCGGUGGAGCAUGUGGUUUAAUUCGAUGCAACGCGAAGAACCUUACCUACUCUUGACAUCCAGAAAACUUUCCAGAAGAUGGAUUGGUGCCUUCGGGA
rnacentral:rRNA from 1 species